CCCGGCUGCCCGCCGCCGGCCAGGAAGGCGGGAAUGCCUCACGGCGUCGUCAGACCCCCGGCGCUGACAGGGCAGAACCUUCCAGAUUGUUCUAGCCCGCCUGUGCCAUCGCCUGGCCUUCCGCCUGGGACCUUUGUCCCCGAUGAUAAUCGAGGAGCCCCCGAAUCUCAGCUCUGUCGCUGUGCAGCUGCGCUCGGAAAUUUCACGUUUCAGAGAUUUAGGUCAAGGCUCAGACAGACGCUGACUGAGUCUCGGCCCUGUGUGUUUCUGGGGAAAAAACCCUCAGUAUCCCACACGCGAUAUUUAAUUCCAGAGGCAAAUCCCAUUUUGAUUAAAGCGGAGAAAAGUGUCUUAAAACACGUGAGCACGGUGCACAGGUAAAGCAGGUCGUGAGAGCUGGCGGUGAGAAGGCCCCCUCGUGCCCCCGUGCUGCAGGCCGCUCCUUCUGGACUCUUCUAGAAGUACUCCCUGUUUCUACAAAUGAGGAGGAGGGAGGGCAUUUUAAUUUCCGCCCUGGAAGCUUCAAGAAGAAAACAGAAAGGCCGCUGACUGAAAGCUGUUGCCAUCAGGAGAAGACCACACUCCUGUUCUAAAUUCUGAGCACUUUAAUAUUUAAGCGUUCUCCCUGAGAUGGGAAUCAAGACAGAACUGCCCUGCGUCUCCCCGGGGAAGCCGUGGAGAAAUAACCUUCACGGAAGCUCCAUAGAAACAGGGGCUGUCACCAGUCCCCCACGACCUAACUGGUGAGUCAUUUCACGAAUUUCAGUGUCGUCAUCUCGAAAGUGAAGGCUUUGCAAAGAGUCAGGUCACUCCAGAUCUCAGAGGAGAUGUUUUCUGAUUUAAAACACGAGGUCAAGUCAAAUGAGACAGAAGACUUCCUGGGGAAAGAAUUCAUUCAUUGUUACAGCAGACAAAGGACUGCACCUCCAGGAUACAACAGGAUCUCUGCUUUCAACAAAAUACACCUUUUAUUUUUAUUGAUAAAAUACAGAUACAGUGUAUAAAUAUAAAAAUAAACGAUACGUGCACCAAAGCCA
rnacentral:lncRNA from 1 species